UACGGAGGGUGCAAGCGUUAUCCGGAUUCACUGGGCUUAAAGGGUGCGUAGGUGGGCAGGUAAGUCAGUGGUGAAAUCUCUGGGCUUAACCCAGAAACUGCCGUUGAUACUAUCUGUCUUGAAUAUAGUGGAGGUGAGCGGAAUAUGUCAUGUAGCGGUGAAAUGCUUAGAUAUGACAUAGAACACCCAUUGCGAAGGCAGCUCGCUACACUAUUAUUGACACUGAGGCACGAAAGCGUGGGGAGCAAACAGG
rnacentral:rRNA from 1 species